GACGAACGCUGGCGGCGUGCUUAACACAUGCAAGUCGAACGGAAAGGCCCUGCUUUUGUGGGGUGCUCGAGUGGCGAACGGGUGAGUAACACGUGAGUAACCUGCCCUUGACUUUGGGAUAACUUCAGGAAACUGGGGCUAAUACCGGAUAGGAGCUCCUGCUGCAUGGUGGGGGUUGGAAAGUUUCGGCGGUUGGGGAUGGACUCGCGGCUUAUCAGCUUGUUGGUGGGGUAGUGGCUUACCAAGGCUUUGACGGGUAGCCGGCCUGGGAGGGUGACCGGCCACAUGGGGACUGAGGUAGGGCCCAGACUCCUACGGGAGGCAGCAGGGGGGAAUAUUGCACAAUGGGAGGAAGCCGGAUGCAGCAACGCCGCGUGCGGGAUGACGGCCUUCGGGUUGUAAACCGCUUUCGCCUGUGACGAAGCGUGAGUGACGGUAAUGGGUAAAGAAGCACCGGCUAACUACGUG
rnacentral:rRNA from 1 species